GACGAACGCUGGCGGCGUGCCUAAUACAUGCAAGUAGAACGCAGUUGCGAACGGGUGAGUAACGCGUAGGUAACUGCCUCAUAGCGGGGGACAACUAUUGGAAACGAUAGCUAAUACCGCAUACUGUGAGAUGGACCUGCGUUGUAUUAGCUUGUUGGUGAGGUAAAGGCUCACCAAGGCGACGAUACAUAGCCAACCUGAGAGGGUGAUCGGCCCACCUGGGACUGAGACACGGGCCAGACUCCUACGGGAGGGAGCAGUAGGGGAUCCUCUGCAAUGGGCGGAAGUCUGACCGAGCAACACCGCGUGAGUUAAAAAGGUUUUCGGGUCCUAAAGCUCUGUUUUUAGAGGAGCGGUAUCUAACCAGAAAGGGACGGCUAACUACGUGCCAGCAGCCGCGGUAAUAC
rnacentral:rRNA from 1 species